UGAGGUGUGGAAAGGCCUCGGGGACACAACGAUAGUAUGGCUAACCAAGCUUUUCAACCUCAUUUUUCGGGCAAACAAGAUGCCAGAAGAAUGGAGACGGAGUAUCUCUACUAUUAAAGGGGGAUCGAACGUCGUGAUGGUUCGACCUCCCCUCGUGGUUCGACACCUCGUUCGAUCCCCCCACCUCGUUGAACAUGUAUCAUUGGGCCACCUCCUUCCCACGAUCCAUCCACGAGACCAUGAUCGCCUCUCGCGAGAACCGCAACGAUCUUUUUACAGCACCUCCCACACUUCCAACCCUCCGGUUUACAAGGGGAAAAAACAAAAAAGAAACAACCCUACCCACGCAUGCACGUUUCCUAUGCAAUCCAGAACUGCCGCUAGACCAGGCAAAAUCAACGCACCGGUAUGCACACAUCUAUACAUGCACGAUCUGCUAGGGCUUCUCCUUAUUUCCUAACGACCUGACCAUGCAUGUUCCUCCUUCCUAGUCAUGCUCGCCAUCGUGCCAGACGGGAGGCCGCCAUGUGCACCGUUUCAAUGGUGUUCCUCCUCGAGGAGCGCGUCACUAGCAUGACGCGGGCGGGGAAGUGGUGGACGCGCAGGGUUCACGCCUACGUUUGGGGUGGCCAUCGCGCUCUACCUCCUGGCCUCUGAACUCACCAGCAUCGGUCGCCGCGGCGGCGUUGUCUCUAUCGUCUUCAUCGAGAUGCUCCUGGUGGUCCUCUAUAAAGCCCCGAGCCCUGGACAGGGUUGAUCGUCGAGGCGGAAGCGGCUGAGGCCCGGAGCCCCCUCGAAUUGCCACGACUCAUGGAGGAGCAGAAAACAAGCCGGCAGCGUGCCUGAGCUAGGGCAGUGGCGGCUGCAAUCCAGGACCGCUCGUCUCGGCAUCGCAGAAUCGCCGGCGAGGGCGCCGGUGACGGCUGCCAGGUGCUCGUGGGGCUACUGAAGGGCGCGGGCGAGGCACAUGGUUGAUGCUUGGGACAGCUGCGGAGCGGCGUGCGCGAGUGCAGGGCAGGCAGUAGCCAGGGCGGCGGGAGAGGACCUAGGACACGUUGUGUUCAUGUAAUCAUCUUGUUCGUCUCUCCCUUUUGUUCGUCCUGUGUGACUAUGUUUUCCUCUUAUAUCCUGUAGCUCUAACUAUGCUUUCCUCUUGCAUCCUGUAGCUUUAAGAACGACUUGUGCAGGUAAUUUAUUUCUGGUCACCAAAACAAGUUUGUUCUUACACUUUGACGUUAUGAUUUGUCAUUAUUCACUAA